CUGUGGAGCCGCGCAGGGUCUAGGGCGACUCUCUGAGGGAGCCGCGGCCGCCAGGCUCCGUGGGUUUUGGUUCAGGCGCCGGUCACUUCACCCAGGCCUCGGUGUCAUCACGGACAGCUUUCAGAAAGGGGAGACAGCCUGGACAUGGUGGCUCACACCCAUAACCUCAGCACUUUGUGAGGCCAAGGUGGGGAGGAUCACUUGAGGCCAGGGGUUCAAGACCAGCCUGGGCAACGUAGUGUGCCCAAGGAUGUUGUAGAACUCUGUCUAGCCACAGUGUGGGGAUGGGGAGCUCCCGCCGACAGACUCUGUUGCUUUCUGGCUUGGCCGCUGGUUGUCCCUUGCUCCUGGAAGGUCACCAUAUUGAUGCCAAACUCAGUGUGGAUGCCCAAUUGGUAGAGUGCACUACAGCCCAGAACUCAUGGACUCAAGUCAGCCUCCCAAGUCCCUGGGACUACAGAUUCCUGAAUGAUCCGGCGGCAUGGCAGAGGUGGUGCCUACUGAUAUGGCUCCGAUGACUGGAGGAACACCAGGGUCCUUGGUCUUGCGCCAAUGUAGGUGAGGCUCAAAGGAAGGUGGAAGAUGUGGAAGAGUUUAGAAUGUGUGCCGUUCUCUUCAAGGGGGAAGGAGUAUGACUGUUAUGCCCAUAGAAGGGCUGGGAGAACAAGGGGCCCUCACCGUGUGGAAGGAAGCACUCUAAAACGAAGCCCCCACAGAGGCAAAGAUCGGAGUGAUAUGGUACAAGCCAAGGCAUGCUGGCAGCCACUAGAAGCUGGCAAGGAAGGAUUGUCCCCCAGAACCUCAGUAGUGUGGUUCUGCUAACACCUUGCUUUCAGCCCAGUGAAACUGAUUUCAUACUUUUGCCUUCCAGAACUAUAAGAGAAUAAAUUUCUAUUGUCUUAUGCCGCUAAGUUGAUGGUAAUAUGUUACAGCAGCCACACGAAACAAAUAUAGCUGUGUACUACCUAACAACGUUUCUGUCAAUGAUGGACCAUACAUGCAACAGUGAUCUCAUAAGAUUAUAAUGGAGCUGAAAAAUUCCUGACAUUGUAGCUGUUGUAGUAUGGCAGCACGACACAUUUCUCACAUGUUUGCAGUGAUGAUGGUGGUGUAAACAAACCUAUUGUACUGCCAGACGUAUAAAAGUAUUAGAAAAAUGUGGA
rnacentral:lncRNA from 1 species